AGAAUCAACGCUGGCGGCGUGCCUAACACAUGCAAGUCGAACGAGAAAGUGGAGCAAUCCAUGAGUAAAGUGGCGCACGGGUGAGUAACACGUGACUAACCUACCCUUGAGUGGGGGAUAAACCUCGGGAAACCGGGGCUAAUACCGCAUAAUAUCGAGAGAUCAAAAGGAGCAAUUCGCUUAAGGAGGGGGUCGCGGCUGAUUAGCUAGUUGGUAGGGUAAUGGCCUACCAAGGCUAUGAUCAGUA
rnacentral:rRNA from 1 species